AUGCAGGAAGGAUUCCUGCUGGGAAGGAAGAAGGCGCUCAGUUUCCACACCCAGGAGCCUCCGGCAACAAUCAUCCAUCGGACCCCGGCGGCGCUGAGCUGGGCGCUGGGUGAGAGGAGGAACAAGAGGCGGCCGCUCUUCUCAGAAGUCGGACCUCAUGGGGAGAACGAGCCCCAUACACGCCCGACCCUACAGCUGGGAAGACAGCGGUCGGUGUCCUGGCACAGGAACCAAACGGUGUCCGAGCUAGAUGAGGACCCACGCCCUCACCAGCUGGACCACGUUAGGACUGGAGCGCUGGGGACCAAAGGACGUAGCACAUCAGAGCGGUUAAAACAAACACAGAGCGGAGCCAGACUGCCAAGGUCCAUUCCAUCUUACCAACUAGUAAGUUCUUUCAUCUCCUUGUGUCUCAGUUUCCCCCACUUGUAAGCGGGAUGUAAUACUACCUCAUGGACUCAUUAGGAAGAUCCACUGAGGUGCAAUCGGCAAUGCCCCAGAAGUAGUAGCAGGCAUAGGAUUAGCUAGUGUGUUUGCUGAUUGAACAUCAGCGCAGGGCGUUGGCCUGGUCCAAGGUGCCGAUGAUCCAAAGGCCUCAGUCCUCCUGGGAAUCCCUGGCUUAUGAGACUGCAAUGGCCUCAUUCCUUCUUUGAACAAAGGCAGGUGCUCCUGAGCCAUGCUCCCUUCCAAUUCCAAAUCUCUGCUGGGAAACUCUCUACAUUUACGUGCUUAGCUGAUAGCACUAAUGUUGGCUCUGACACGCCCUGAUCUGACUCUGCAGCUCACCUCAAAGGUCAGAGUUGCAGUAUCCUUCCUCGUCUCAAAAACCGGCCCUGCUCUCUCUUUCCUGUCCAUUGAUAGGGGAAUUGUUACUGUCUGUCAAGUGACCGAAGACGGGGGUCAGGUUUCAGUAGCAACUCCCAGGGGAGUUUGGGGGCUCUGGGGCAAGAGCAGAAAUGUAGCAGGAAGCUGGGAACGGGCCUGGGGGGGCAGGAGGCAGAUGCGGACCGUGGCCUUCAAGUCUGCCCUGGGCUCGCUGUGGCCAGGGGCGGGGCCUGCUCCAGGCCUCUCCUCUUCUGACUCUUCACCG
rnacentral:lncRNA from 1 species